rnacentral:rRNA from 1 species
ACCCGCUGAACUUAAGCAUAUCAAUGAGGCGGAGGAAAAGAAACCAACAGGGAUUGCCUCAGUAACGGCGAGUGAAGCGGCAACAGCUCAAAUUUGAAAUCUGGCUCCUUCGGGGUCCGAGUUGUAAUUUGUAGAGGGUGCUUCGGCUUACGGCGCGGUCUAAGUUCCUUGGAACAGGACGUCACAGAGGGUGAGAAUCCCGUACGUGGCCGCGCUCUCCGCCAUGUGAAGCCCCUUCGACGAGUCGAGUUGUUUGGGAAUGCAGCUCUAAAUGGGAGGUAAAUUUCUUCUAAAGCUAAAUAUCAGCCAGAGACCGAUAGCGCACAAGUAGAGUGAUCGAAAGAUGAAAAGCACUUUGGAAAGAGAGUUAAAAAGUACGUGAAAUUGUUGAAAGGGAAGCGCUUGCGACCAGACUUGACCGCGGAUGCUCAGCCGGCCCUCCGGCCGGUGUACUCUUCCGCGGUCAGGCCAGCAUCAGUUUGGGCGGCCGGAUAAAGGCCUCGGGAAUGUGGCUCCCCUCGGGGAGUGUUAUAGCCCGGGGUGCAAUGCGGCCCGCCCGGACUGAGGACCGCGCUUCGGCUAGGAUGCUGGCGUAAUGGUCGU